UCUGUGGCCACACCACCCUGACCGCGCCCGAUCUCGGCUGAUCUCGGGAACUACGCAGGGUCAGGCCCGUAGUGCUUGGAUGGGAGAAACCUAUGUGCGUGCUUGUAUUUCAAGAG
rnacentral:rRNA from 1 species